ensembl:lncRNA
CAAUAUUGCAUGUGCUUAGAAUACUGCAGUGAACAACAAGGAUGAGUCCUUGAUCACAGAGAGCAAUAAAUAAACAAACAAAUAAAUGCAUAACAUAGCCUUCAGUGCUACGAAAAAAGAAAUAUCAGACAAAGAGUAUUCAGAAUCAAAGGAGAUACAAGUUGGGUAGAUUUAAGAUAGAUUCUGUGAGAUAUUAAGCAGAUACUGAGACAGUCUGGGACUCAAGAUGCUUAUUAUUUAUUAAUACUUGUGAAAUAAAGGAGAUGGCAGUAGAAAUGGGCAGAGAAAGGAGUCCAAAUGUGACAUAGGGCAGACAAAGCUUCGGCUAACCUGUUUGUGAAACUCUUGAGUGAACAUUGCCCAGUAGAAGAUCCUCACAGACUGAAAAUCACAGGGCCUUUUUAUUCCUGCCUUACUCUGUCAGUGAAUGUGGACUGCCACAGGAAAGGAAUGAGCUUCUGUGAGAGGCAGACCUGUAAGGGAGGAGGCCUUGGAGGAACUGAAGGCUGGAAGCUGGGGGUCUUCUGACUAUCCUCUCCACAGCUGAGCAGCAUGUUCUUCCUUGAAAUGGGAUUUGGUGAUGCAUCUUCAUAUUUACAAUAGGAGAAGCAGGGAAUUUUUUUUUUUAAUGGAAAUCUUCAAGAAUAAAAAAAUUGAACUUUAAAUAGAAAAGGGUUCCCCAAGUGGCUCAGCAGUAAAGAAUUCACCUGCAAUGCAGGAGACAUGGGUUCAAUCCCUAGGGGAUAUGAUGGUAUAAUCAAUAUUUCCUGUUGAAGACAGAAUCCUCAUGCUGAGUGGCUUCAUCUAAGCUAUGGCGGAAAGAAAGCAAUGGCACCACCAUUCCAGAAAAGAUAUAUGAGUCGAUCUAAGUGAUAAUGGCUUGGACUGCAUCAACAUUUGGGGGUGAAACGUCUGUCAAUCAGCAUCAUAUUUAAUUUAAAUAUCUGGGUGAGGGUAAGCUUUUGUAUCCAAGAGUUGAUGCUCCAGUUCAACACUUAAGAG